GGGACGACGUCAAAUCAUCAUGGCCCUUACGGCCAGGGCUACACACGUGUUACAAUGGGCGCCACAACGGGCUGCAACUGUGCAAACAGAAGCGAAUCCCUUAAAAGCGCUCUCAGUUCAGAUCGUAGGCUGCAACUCGCCUACGUGAAGUUGGAAUCGCUAGUAAAUGCAGAUCAGCACGCUGCAUUGAAUACGUUCCCGGGUCUUGUACACACCGCCCGUCACACCAUGGAAGCUUGUGACGCCCUAAAUCGGGAUCUCAACCGCAAGGAGAGAACCGCCUAAGGCAGCGCCGGUGACUGGGGUGAAGUCGUAACAAGGUAGCCGUACCGGAAGGUGCGGCUGGAUCACCUCCUUUCUAAGGAGA
rnacentral:rRNA from 1 species